AAGAAAACCUACGCUCGAUCCCCUCGACGCACGCUCCUCUCGAUCCACCCCUCCCGCUGGGGCCUCUCUCUCUUUCCCUCCUCCCCCGCUCCACCGCCGCCGGCCCAUCUCCCGCCCCGCCGCUGCCGCCCCAUCUCCCACCCCGCCGCCGCCGCCCCAUAUCCCGCUCUGCCACCGCCCCUACUGCUCCACCGAACCGACCUCUUCUUCGAGCGUGAGCCGCUCCUCUCCCUGACACCCUCGUACGCACUAGGGUUUCGUGCGCCGCCGCCGCCGGUCCUCUCCAACACCGCGACGGGCUUCACGGCCUACUUCGGCCUCAGGCCUUAAUGCUCCCUCUGCUUCUGCGUCGACCGGCUUUUCAGCGAGGAGGACGUACAUCAGGCAGCGGGUGACGCGCGGUGACUGCGCAAAUUCCUCUGCGGCGGAGAUCUCCAGGAUGGGUGCUUGUCUUCUCGGAAGAAGGAGAUGAUGAAGGAUGCAGAGAAGGAAGGCAACGUGGAAGGCAACGUGGUGUGUUCUUGAUGAUGAUCGAAGAAGAUCGUGCUGGCUGUUGUUCAAGGGACGAUAGCCAAAGAAGAAGAAGAUGAUUGCUAUGCUCUGCUGGAUCAGGAUUCUGGAAGACCACGAAGAGGAAUAAGACAAGCAGGCACAUGUGUACCGUCACGAGCAGCAAAACGAAGAGUAAACCCAAGAAUAUCAAGGGGGGUUAUGUUGGCUGCCGUGGAGGACGAGAUGCAAGGGUGCUCGGGCAGCGGCUGCAGCAGCGUGAUAGAUCAAGUGAGCUAGGUUGUGCCAUCUCUGGUCCUCUCUCUUCAAACGGUCGACACCGGGUGCUUACGAUCGACGUGACGGCGACGGUGCAAGAGCAUGGCGUAGCUGGUCUGAGAGUGGCGAUGGACUCACUGCCCGCUGCUACUAUAUCAUCCAAAGUAGUGGCAGGGCGCAGCGGCACGAACGGCUCAGCCUCUGCCUUGUUCAUCCCAUUACCACGGAGGCGCUUUAAUUACUGACACAUCUGUUCUUAUUAUGCUACUGCAGGCGAUUUCUCAGCUUUCAACUCGUUCUAUUUUACUCGUCAUACAUGGGGAGAGUUUAUACAAUGUUAGAUGAAGAGUUGGCGGUGCCACGGUGCCAAGGUUUGCUUCUCAAAACUGAUAAGAUCACAUGAUGCUUUUAUAUGCUUAUUAUUAAAUCACAGGCAAAUAACCCACUUCAACCUGCGUGAUAAUUAUGCAGUAAACAGAGCUUUUGUGUAAAUAAACUACCCAACUUUGUCAAGUGAGUUAAUAGAGCAAGUCUUUAAUUUGUAAUUAGCUGUUGCUCAGAUUUGAACUAGCGCUUCAUACAGAACAAUUUUGAGAGCAACUCCCCGCAAAAAAAAAAAUACAUCAACUAUAAUUGUUGGAAUCCUGAAGGUAGUUCCAUCGAAGUUUGUGAGUAUAUUUGCAAACCUCUGUCUACCUAUGAAUACUAUUAUCGAGAUAGUUUAAACCAUGUUGUUGGCCUGCUACAAUGCUCAAUGGUUUACCCUUGCUCGGAUCAAUUCUGGUGUGUUUGUAGUGGGAAUGUGGGAUGAUGUAUGAAGAGAUAAAGAAAAUUAUGCUCGCGGAAUAUGAGUAUGUAGUAACAGUUCUCUGUUAUGGUUCGCGACAAUUGUUCUGGUACAUCUCAUUGGUAGUUUAUAUGUAAUGCAAAAUGCCGUUUUAUAAUUAUCAUGCUAAAAAAUAAUGUUACAUUAGACAUUUCAACAUAAAUGAGUUGGACAACUGAGCCCACAAUAUAUAACUAUGUAUAUUGGGACACAACGUUUUGCCUCUGUGUCCAGAUGAGCCGGUCAUUCGUCAGUUGGAAUCCGCACCAAAGAGUUUCUGUGGUGUUGGUGUUCACCAGUAGUCGAGUACAUCGAGUAUAGAACACCCGUGUAUGCUGCAGGUGGUUACGGCGUACAGCGGAACUAACAGAACUAUUUUGAAUCUCGGUGGCUCUGUAUCAGGGUCUUCCUGUACUGAUGGUUGAAAGAUUUCCAUGUGGUAUGUGACAUGGUACAGAUUUUUCGUUUCCUCGUAACUGUGAUCAGAUAAUCAUGGAUGACGAAAGGCAAACGGAUUCCUUGCCUUCCAAUUUAUCAGUCUUCAGUUACGCUCACGUACCGAGUGAAUAGAUUGCAAUGUUCUGUACUUCUUAUUUCUAAUUGAUUUCAUUCUCUAAUGGUUGCAUUAACUUGCCAAAUAUUUCAUCUGGCGGAUGCAUGGGAGGGGAUAUGCAUCUGCGGCUGUGCGUCUAUGGUGGCAGUGGAACAGUCCUCACUGUAAGUGAUCUUAGAUAGGGAUGAGGUUAGCAACGAGGGCGAAAGAUGAUGAGGCUCCAGCAUCUACUUUGUGAAGUUCUUCUAAUUUCGAAUGUUAUAGACAGCUAGAAAGGCAGCCCAUUGUACAAGUUGUCUAUAUCGAUAUCUAGAGAUGAUAUGGAGAGCCGCUAUAGAUAGAUACUAUCUAGACUAUUGUACUUUCCCUUAUUGCUGCAGGUCGAAGGCGUCGUGGUGGCGCAUUGGAGCUGGAGGAGGCGGCGGGCCAGCGCUGUUUGUGCUCAAGACGUACGAGAUGGUGGACAGCCCAUCGACGGAAGCAGCGGUCUGGUGGAGUGACGCGUUGGACACGACCUUCGUGGUCUGGUGCUCGCUGGAGUUUGCAUCUUCAAGCACAUAAAUUUCUCCAGUUUCAUCCAUGAGCUCCCCCACCCCCUCUCUUACUGAAUCCCUACGCACCCCAAGCAAUCUCGGUCAAGUUUGUGCGGAUUUGGGGUUUAAGAUCUGUGCAUGUGCGGGGAAUUUAUUAGGAGUUGGGCUGGGUUUUAUUUGUCAGAUUUACUGAAGAAUUUGCCAUUAGAUUUUGAUCUUGGGUGGGGGCGAGGGUCCUCAAAUGUCUACACUGUUGUGGUGAAAUGCUACUCCAUUUUUACUAAAAAUCAUUUAGGAUGCUGAUUUUCUUA